GGGGAUUUAGCUCAGUGGUAGAGCGCUUGCCUAGCAACCGCAAGGCCCUGGGUUCAGUGUUCAGUCCCCA
rnacentral:tRNA from 1 species